GGCAAUGAUUGACACUGAACCUCGUUCACAGAUCAAUCCGAGCCACCAGUGAGAACCCAUUUGGGGUGGCGGAGGCGGAAGGCCUUGGCCCGUCUGAGCC
rnacentral:snoRNA from 1 species